AGCUUUUUCUUCUUAACCUUUCGCUUUACUGUUCAUAUACAUUUUUUUAGUUUUUUUUUUUUUUUUUUUUAAAAAAAAGAAAAAUCUGGGUUCAUCAUCAUGUAAGGCAAAGGGGACUUCUCUUUCAAUUAAAGCUGGAAGAAAGCUGAAGGAGAGGUAAUUUUAUCAUUUUCAAAUCUCGUUAUUUUAUUAUUAUGAUUGGAAAAAUGUAUAAUUAAAGAAAAAUAUCUGUAAAUUCUUGCUAAUUGGUAGAUCUCAUAAUCCAAUGAAGAAGAAGGUGUAUAUAUUUUGUAGAUAUCCAACCAAGUCGAAGAAGAUAAGGGAUUAAGGGAUUGAGAAAAAGAAUGAAAGUAGAACACAAUUAGUUAAUGUCUUAAUGAAAAAAGACUUGGAGAUAAAUAUAAAAACGCACAAGUAAAGAGGAAGACAAAACUUAGAAUAUUAAGGGAAUAAGGAAAGAAAGAAAGAAAGAAAGACAAAGAUGAGGUUGAGAAGAAGGAAGGAAUCAGCGACGAAGGUUCUUGACUUUGGACCAUCCCUUCUUGCAAGUUUUUCCGACGACUUUGAUACCUUUCUUGAACAGAUGCUUCAGCUCCAUAGCCCUCAUCUUCACCUGAUCCUCGAAUGCUCCCAUCUUCUUCUUCUCCUUCUCCUUUCUUUGGAUACCUUUCUCUCUCUCUCUAUCUGUCUUCUUCUUCUUCUUUUCUCUCUCUGUUCCUCAGAGGCACCAGAGAUGUAUUAAAGUUUUGUCUGGGCCAUCCUCAUCUCUUUAUAUAUAUAUAUAUAUAUAUAUAUAUAUAUAUAUAUCUAUCUAUCUAUCUAAAGAGGAUGGGUAUACAAGACAGCUAUGAAUUAAAUUUAUUCUGAGAAAUGUUUAUUAAUAGAGAUAAAUGAGGGGAGAGAGAGAGAGAUUACACCUAAGCAAAGGCUAAGCUAAUCCUGAGUUUGCUUUAAUUAACAACUGAAUUUUGAAUUUUGGGGUUUUAACAAGAAUACACCAUGGUCUUUGUUGAAAAGAAUUCUAAGUAUAGGGAGGAGACGUAAAAUUUGGUUUUAAGCAGAGUUGCCAAAGGGAUUUGUACACGUGGCUGAAAGAUGACCGCUGGGAAAUCUGAUGUGGCUUAGGAGUGUGAUUUGGGGGGAAAUGGCCAGCUGUGCAAUCCUCAUCACACGGGACCCACAAAUGGACCACAUGUUUGCUGCUAAUGCUAUUGGUCCUCCUCACGACGUUCCAUCUCUCUCUUUCCUUUUCACACUUUGCUUGCUUCUCUUCCUUUUGCUUUUGUAAUCCUAUUUAAAAUGCUUUUGAUUCCUUCUUUAAUCCUGCUUGAUUCUUUCUUUUUAUGUAUAGUAUUUGCGUGUCAUAGUUAGACAGGUAUUUACCCAUUAGAUAUCGUCUUGUAUAAGAAUCGCAAUAAUGAUGGGAAUAAAGCCUUUUCUCCUUCUUGUUAAUUAACUUCUCCCUUUCAUUUAAUUGUAAAGGAGAAGAGAUUCUCUCUCUAAAAGGAACAGAUCAGCUGCAUACACGUACAACAACAAAUAUAUGCACACGGUUUAGACACUGUCUUAACAGAGAGAGAGAGAGAGAGAGAGAGAGAUACUAUAUAUUUUGAUGACGUAACUGACAAGGGAAAUGAAUCUCUCUCUGCCUCUCAUCCAUUGAUUAAGGCUAAGAGCGUAGCGUAAGGAGAAGUGUCAAGGCAUUGUACAAGGAGUGGACGACCACCGACGAGGCUAACUUCCCUGACCAGCUGUAACAUGCACCUAGAACACACCCUAUCCCAAAAAGCUGCACCAAAUCCUCCCCCGAGAAAUGAGCUGCUGCAAAUACUCCUGAGCUUAUCACAAGUGCCUUCCUCCAUUCCAUUCUCGACGCUAAGGAGCUCAAUAGAUACCGUCUGUACACAAUCUCCUCUAGCAUCGGAGCUACCAAGCAGUAUAGUGCAAAACACCCGCUUCUCGACACUUCCCCGCUCGCCAUUAUCUUCUCCAAUUCCGAGUUUUGUACUGCCUGUGAGAUAUCAACACACAUUUGCUUCUGCUUUAUACUCUUAUGUCAAAAAAAUGCUAAAUGAUAUUCAUCUUUUAGCAGAUAUCGUUAACGAUAUUAUGACCUUAGAACCGAAGAGUUGAUCAGCUACUAGUGAGGUGAGAAAGAUAAAUCCCACAAGACAUCCUAAACCCAUUGCUGAGCCAACCACCCAGUUUCUUCCUUCUCUUGAGUCAUUAUUACCCUUUAGAAAGUUGAUCGAUCUACAUUCCGGCUUCGCAGUGUUCCUCAGCAGCAAGACUGUCCCUGUUAGUUCUACCAUUUGGAGAAAGACAAGUGACAGCACCUGUACAUUGUAGCCACACCCCAUGAAUUUCGAAACGCAAAUUCAACUGCAGCAUCAAAAGCAUACAUACGUAUAUAGAAGAAUGACAGAGAUGAUUGAAGCAUAUAUACGUAAAGCCGCUCUCUUUAAAGUAGCCGAUUGCACAAGCAUUCAUACAGCAAUAACUUGUACCCUUUGCUCAUCCGUAUAGUAAACCAUAUAUGUAUAUAAUAACUUGGCAAUACAUUCUUGACCUUCCAUACAAAAGGAAAUGAGAGAACUCACUUGGGUCUGAGGAUCAAGAAGCCUUUGGUGGAGUAUGCGGGCAACGAUGGAUAAACCCCCAAAACUGAGAGGGAUAUGCAGACAGAACAUGUAAACAGCCAAUGUGCUCCAUAUGUUCUUCUCUUCCCACGGGAUUUCUGAUGCCAAAGCCGAGAACCCUCCUUCAUUCUCCAACUGUUCAAUGUUCCAAAAUGCAUCGGACACAGUUGAAACAUUAACCUUAUAAAACUAAUAAAAAGGGGACAACUUUUGGAACAUUAUCCUAAUCUAAAACGCAUGAGUUUGAUUGUAAUGCGUCUCAUGACUCAAUCAAGAGAAAAGUGACGCACCUCGGUGCUUUCCUGUGUGGAUUUGCUUUUGAGACAAGAGCAUCUGAGAGAAGGUCUGGAUCUCAACCGACAAGUGGCAGAGGAGAGACCGCGAAACUCCGAAUAUCUUCGGAGAAGCCCGUCGGAACCCCAAGCCACCGGCGUGAAGGAAACCCAUUGGGACAGAAUCAUCGCCGCCUUUGACCUGAGAGUCUCCCUUCAUUUUUUCCUACAGUAGAAGCAAAGCUGCUUUCAAAGUUACCGUCGUGGAUCUGUUUGUUUCCAAACAAUUGUGAUCUAUUGUUUUAGCAUAAAGGUGGAUUUUUUUUUUUCAACUUUAAGGGUUCUCUAUUUUAACCUCCAACCAAAAAAAAAAUAUUUUCUUUUUGUUAAAAAAUACAACUUUCGUGUUUGAUUAGAUUUACGGAUUUAGAAAGGAGAGAAAUUUGGGAGCAACACGAUUCACAGGUUUUCGAUUUCCCUUCUUCCUUCCCCGAGAGAAGACAUUUUUUGUGGGUCGUGUCUGGUCUCUGGGCAAAAGAUGGUGAGGAUGGUGAGGAGUUGCUUACAGUCCAUGUUGAAGCUGGUGAAUUCCAUACUUGGGAUGGUUGGGAUCGCCAUGAUCCUUUACGCUGUUUGGCUGAUUAGGCAAUGGCAAGAACAGAUGGGAAAUCUCCCCUUCGCUGAUUCUGACCACCCCGCUCCUUGGUAUUUUCGCUUUCCGUCUUUUCUUUUAUGUGCAAUCAACCAAAUAGGCAGAGACAAGUUCUCAUAGAUUCUGUGAGCCUGAGGUGUAUUAUCUGAUAGCUGAAAGCUGUUUGGUUAUGGAAUAGAGCAUGUUAGGACUAGUGUUGAGGGGGAAGUUAUCAUUGUUGUCAAUUGUUAUGAAAUCUGCCAUCGCCAAUGAAAAUUACUGAAGCCAAUUUCUGCUUAUGAUUGAGCUGCAGGUUCAUUUAUGCAUUUCUUGGUCUCGGUGCCAUUCUCAGUGUUGUCACUUGUGCCGGGCACAUAGCUGCUGAAACCGUUAAUGGAUGUUGCCUUUACUUGGUAAACUUGUUUUCUUUUGUAAAAGCUUUUCCUGCAACUCGUUCGACAACUAGUAGCAUCUACGUUUCCUUUGCUAGUUUCAGCAAUCCUUUCUUGUGUUUCUUUAUAUGUGAAUGUUUGUUGGCUCAUCGACUGGGUUCAGUAUAUGGGAUUCAUCGUUUUGCUCAUUAUGGUUGAAGGCGGUGUGGUUGCUGAUAUCUUUCUAAACCGUGACUGGAAGGAGGUACAAUGUUCUUCUAUCUCUUUUCUUUUGAAAAUAAAAAAUAAAACAUACUCGAGAGGCUCUCGGUAGUCACGUCCAUGAUCAUAAUCUUUUAGAAGCUUGCAUCCAGGACUUUCCAGAGGAUCCAAGUGGUGCUUUCCACCAGUUCUCUAAGUUCAUCGAGUCAAACUUCAAGAUUUGCAGAUGGAUAGGUCUCUCUAUUGUCUGUGUCCAGGUCUCUUGAUAGCUACAAGUCUCUACAUUUACUUUGCUUGUAAAAUGCUUUGGUUGCGUAAUGUUUCAAAGCGUUCUCUUUGUUUAUUGGUGGCAGGGGGUAUCAGUUCUAUUGGCCAUGUUGCUCAAAGCUCUUGGACCUCACCGUCAUUAUGACAGUGACGAUGAAUACAAUGAAAGCACGGUCGCACUCCUACGGGAUGCUCGCCAGCCGCCUCCAUACGUUGUUGGAGAACCCAUUUAUGGAGCCAAACCGGAAUCUUGGAGGGUCAGGAUUAAUGAAAGAGCGAACCGGUAAGAGGUGCAGAGCAAGAAGCUCUGAGAAGAAACUGGCAAAGAGUCGCUCUUUCAAUGUGCACUUGGGUUUGGCUUCUUUUUUUUUUGCAUGUCUCUCUCUCCCUCUUUCAUUCCCACUCCAAAGUCCAAACCAUUAUCUCUUGUAAAAUCUUGGAUACUAUACAUUAAUUAUACAUAUGGGUGUAUUUCAAAAUUAUAUGAAGAGUCCCAAUCUCUCUCUCUCUCUCUCUUACUCACACAGUCACACAUCCUUCCACAAACAUCAUUGGGAAUGUUGUGAUGAGUUGGAUCGGUCCUGUAUGUACCGGUUCUAUAACCAACUGGUUCGAAAUAGGAUUAGUCGAUUUGACCUGGUCCAGGCAUUAGUCCUAUAUUGCUCUCAUCAGACCUGAAAGACAUGUACAGCAUGGCCCAUUGGCCCUUAUACUAGAUGUUGAAGAUUCUUUUGUUGGAGUCUUGCUUUAGGUGUUCCAAAUUCGUUAAAACAAACAAAAAAAGUGUAAAUAAACAAUCAAACACCAAUAUUGGUAUUAAUGUGAUGACUGAUGAGUAAUCUUGUUGCCUUAUGGGGCACAUGGGAGAGAGUGUAUAAAGUCCAAUUGUGUAAAAAUGUGAAGAAGGAAUUAGUUGAGAAUGUGAUGUGAACUGUAAGAUUCGUAUAUGAACUGUUUUUAUUGAUACUCCCUCGUUAUCUCAUGUGACUUUGUAAUUUCAUAAAAUAAUAAAACAUCUUUAUCUUGUUGUCAUUCUCAAUAAUACAAUAUACGACUUUUUCCACUUUUGAUUAAAGCAUCCCCAUUACUAAUAACGAAUUUCGAUUUUAUUUUAUUUUAUUGGAGUAAUCAAUAAUAUCUUUCAACAGUCUUUGCUAAUGCACACACCCAUAUUCAAUCAUUUUUGUUUGAUUCUAUGUAAUUCGGACGUCGCAUUUUACGUUUCAUCUCCAACGUAUAUGCAUACGUAUGCUAAGUUGAUUAGGUACAAUAGUUGACAAGCCUUGGAAUUGGAUUAGAGUGAGAUUUCAAUAGAUAAAACGAUAUAUAAAUCAACAUUUCUUAUAGUGUAAAAUAAAUUUUUAUUAUACCUGCGUCGUUAUAUUGAUUAUAAGUUGAAGUGUGACUGACGUUAAUAUAGCAUUUAGUUCCGGAGUGUUAUCUAAAAAGAAUAACUAACUUUGUUGAAAAUAUUUGAGAACGUAAUUAAGAAGGGUCGUAUAAUCAAAAGUAGGGGUUGUGGCGUGUAGACUGUAGUCACUACUCACUAGUCAUGUGCAUGUGCCUUCUGAUUUAAAUAUAAAAAAAUAUGUAGAGAAUGUGCAUUACGAUUGCAAUGUAAAAUUAUAUCAACUGGCUGUAUAUAUAUGAAGGCAUCAUUGAGCUACGGUUGGUUGUUCGUUAAAAAAAUUACGAAACUCGAAGACAGUUAUGAAAAAUAAAACUAGUUGCUUUUUUAAUUGUUAAAAUGAUUUGAUGAUGCGUUGUGGGCAUGAGGUUGGCCAACAAGAUUUCGUUUCUCAAACCUUAUCGUAUGUGUAUAAUGUCAAUGACCCUUCAAUCUUGUAUUGUGUGUGGUUUUUGUUCUUUCAGAAUAUGAAUAAAAAAUGUGGUGCUGUUUUUGUCCUUUACAUAAUACUAGUAGUAAAAUGUGUUAAUCACACACAGUCACAGAGGCUAAUUGAUAAAACUAAAGAAGGGGUCGUUGCCGUAUAUAUAGUAUAAGAACAAGAAAAAUGUUGCUAGUAAUAUGUUAAGUAAGUAACUUUUGAUUCUUUAGCACAGGCCAAGAAGAAUCUUUAACAACGGCCGAAUCUUAUAAUUUGCUGCUGAAGAAACAACACACACGGGGACGGGAUCGUGUGGAAUCGAGGCUCCUAACUGUCAGAGGGUCCCAUCAAUGGCACUCAAGGCCACCACAUCAAAAAAAAAAAAAAAAAAAAAAAAAAAAAAAAAAAAAAAAAAGAAGGGCAAAGGCAAAGGCAAAGGCUUCUCCUUUAUCUCAAAAUCUAUAUUUAACCAACCAACAUCGUUUCUUACUACACACACACACUCUCUCUUUCUCUCACGCAUAGUCCACUUUUCUUCAAUUUGAUUUUUUUGGUCGGGAUAGGUAUCGCCGGUGGAAAUGCAGCUCCUUCCGGCCAUCCUAACGACUCUCUGCCUCGUCUUCUUCUUGCAGCUGCUUCGAGGAGGAGGCGCCUCUGCCUCCGUCCCUACUCGCUCUACUCGCCGCGUGGCAGCCCCUCAUUGGCUCCCCGCCACCGCCACCUGGUACGGAAGUCCCGAGGGAGACGGCAGCAGCGGUAAAAUUGAUUAAGACACAACUGAUAAAAUUAAGAAAGAGUUAUAUAUAUAUAUAGGCAAAUUUGUUUUAUUUCGAAAUAAUAAUGCAGGAGGAGCGUGCGGGUACGGGUCGCUGGUGGACGUGAAGCCGUUGAAGGCAAGAGUGGGAGCGGUGAGUCCGGUGCUGUUCAAGAGCGGCGAAGGAUGCGGCGCUUGCUACAAGGUCAGGUGCCUCGACAAGACCAUCUGCUCCAAGAGACCCGUCACCAUCAUCGUCACCGACCAGUCUCCUUCUGGACCAUCCGCUCGUGCCAACCACACUCACUUCGACCUCAGCGGCGCCGCCUUUGGUCAUUUGGCUAUUCCCGGCCAUUCCCGCCUCAUCCGCAACCGCGGCCUCAUCUCCCUCCUCUACCGCCGGUACGUUGCCUUCUUUUUCUUUUCUUUUUUUUUUUUGGUCUUAAUUUGCGCUAAAAUAUAACCAACAACAACUUAUCCAUCAUUGCUAAUGAGUCCAUCGAUCAUAUUCUGUGCAUUGGGAGGAGUAAACAUAUAAUUUUUAACUUUAACGGCGUUCUUGUUUUCGAUGGUCCCAUAGUUUGACCGUUGACUAAAUAUCACUACAUGACACACCCUCUCCAUCUCUGACACACAAUUGUCGUCUGUCUGUCGAUUAAUUUAUGAUAUUUGCUAAAUUUGGUUUUGUACCAAAAACAGGACUGCAUGCAAAUACAGAGGGAAGAACAUAGCGUUCCAUGUGAACGCAGGAUCAACUGCUUAUUGGUUAUCUCUUCUCAUCGAGUAUGAAGACGGAGAAGGUGACAUUGGCUCUAUGCACAUUCGUCAGGCAGGCUCCAAGGACUGGAUACCCAUGAAGCACAUUUGGGGAGCCAACUGGUGCAUCGUCGGAGGUCCUCUCAAGGGACCGUUAUCAGUCAAGCUCACCACUCUGUCCAAUCACAAAACGCUCUCCGCCACCGACGUCAUCCCCAAAAACUGGGUCCCCAAAGCUACUUACACCUCCCGCCUCAACUUCUCCCCUGUCCUCUAACCAAUUUCUAAGCUUUUCCCCUGUUCUCUGUCUUCACUUCCACUUUUUUUUUUGGUUAUUGGGAGAGAGAAACAGAGAGCUAGGACAAUGAGUAAGUGAGUGAGAGAGAGAGAGAGAGAGAGAGAGAGAGAGCGAGAGAGGAUGGAUAGCAAACAGAAUCCAAUCCCUUUCCUCUCUUCAUUUUUUGUUUUGUUUGGAGUUGUGUAUGUGUCGGUGAGUUUAGCCAUCUCCAAAGUAAGAGGGAGAGAGCUUGAUUGUGUGACUAAUUACUACUUACUAGUCUCGUGGUUCUUUUUCUCCUUCUAAACCUUGUAAAAGGCGAUAGGAGUAUCUAUAUAAUAAUGUCAGUUUAUAUAAUAAGAGAAACUACAAAAUGCAGAUAUAAUAACAAUAAUAAUAAGCUAUAUGCAAAUCUCAUUCCUUUCUCUUCCAGCUCUUUUGUCUACCCCACUCCCUCUCUAGUCUAAUGAGAACAGCUUGGCGACUCUUUCAGUGUAAAAUAAUAUAUAUCUCUCAAAUGUGUUCACUUCUUUACGAGGACAGGCAUAUUCAUUCUCUUAACAUGUUCGUUCGUUCGUACACACCUUAAGAGUGUCUGUAAAGAGAAGAGACGAAAACAUAACUGGACCUCACCAUCACAUGCACCCACGUGUCCCAUUAUCUUCCCUAAACCCUCUCAAGCCACUACUAGGCGACAAUAAUGACGUAAAGAUGGUUCACAUGGCACACAAACACGACACACUCUCUUACCACCAAACUAUUGCAAAAAACAACGGAUGCCACAAUCAUUUUUACAUGAUUCAUCCAACAGCCUGUACUUGCCAAAGUCUUAUAAACGUAAAAAUACGUGGAAGCAAAAUGAUUUAACGUGAACAAUCAUCCCAUACAAUAUUCCCAAAUUUUGCAGAAUAAAAAAAAAAUGAUAAUAAAAAAAAAAAAAUCAAAAACCAAAAACAAAGGACUAAUAUUCUCUCUCCAGAAGAGGAAAUGGUGUGCCUCCAAAUAGAAAGCUUCUAUGUGUGCACAAUACUUACCUCUUCUUAUUAUGCCCGCAGCUACCGUGACUUCAAUACCAAUUUAUCCCCCGACAAUAAUACUAACACACCCUUCUCCUUCAUUCCGCCUUGGCUCCCUCAGCCUCAGCCUCAGCCUCAGCCACAGCCACAGGUUUCUCCCCCUCUCCCGCGGCAGCAGCAGCCUCAGGCUUCGCUGUUUCAGCACUUGCGUCUUUCGCAGGUGAAGCAGGUUUCUCCUCUGCAGCCUUUGUCUCCGCCGCAGGUUUUCCAUCUUUUAUAUCCUUGGCGUCUUUCCCACCUUUUGCAUCUUUGCCUUCUUUGUUGGCAUCCUUCCCAUCUUUGGCUGGCGGCGGAGGAGGCAUCAUGUGGGGCGGUGGAUUUGUCUUGAGCUUCAAGAAUAUCUGCCUCAUUCUACUUAGAUCAGUCGGCUUCCCAGGUUUAGGACCCUGGAUAACCAUCACUGAUGGCUUCUUGUCCGGAUCCUUUUUCCCUCUCUUCUUCUCAAUGUUGGGAACCUCACGCGGGAUCAGCUCUGCAAUUGCUUUCCAGUAAUGCUUGUCAACUUCUUUGUGGAACUUCUCUUGGUUAGCCCAGUACAGCUGCAAGAGAGGCAAAAACUCUCACACACAAGUUUACAAGGGAUCUCACGUUGGCUGCAGUUGUUGUGUAUUCUUACCUUCUCCCUCUCGCGGUUAUCAGCCUUGUUGGUCUCGAUGUUCUUCUCCCUUUUCUCAUAGAAGGCCUUCUUGUAUUCUUCUGCUUCAGCUAUGAUCUGAUUCCGCAUCUCCUUCUCUUUCUUUUCCUUCUCCUCAAGGUGGAUGGCGUUUUGACUGGACCAAUGGGUGCCAAUACUAUCAGUUCACACACUGCGAGAUUCUUUCAUAUUUGCUGAACAAGAAAAGCAUGGUGGUUCCACUCUAUCUCAUUCGGAGAUUGACACAUGACAAAAGAAGAUGAUAGCUACAACAGCACAUAUGUUCUUUCUUAAUACUAAUUACAUCAAAGAGGCUUGCAAUCGAGCAACUUGUAUUUUUCUUCAAAUGCAUAUUUGCUUUCGCUGAAUCAAGAGCACAUCCUUAAUACUAGCUUUUUUUAUAGUCGAAUUACGGAAGAGCGCAUAAUCAAAUCGAUGCUUGAAUGAUUAAAGUCGAGAAGCUAAGAAGGCACUGGUUAUCUACCAUAGUCGCAAACAAUCAGAGAUCUAGCCCUACUUGCAUAAGAGGGAAUAAAUAAAAGGGGAAUAGAAGACUGACCGGCGCCACUCACGGCGUUGGAAACCCUCCUCGCGCAUCUCGUUUGGAUCUGGAAGAACGGGUCCGUCGGAGGCGAAGAUCGCGUCGCCGGUGCCGCCGUUGGCAUCGUUCACGGAAGACUCGAAAGGCGAGGAGAAGUCAUGGUUGGGGGAGGAAGCAGGAAAGCCGUAGCCGUUAGGGGAGGCAGGAUUCUCAGAUCCAUAAGCUCCAUCUCCGUUGUUGAAGGAGGAGAAGCCGCCUGAGGGAGGUUGAGUGGGAGGUGGCGGGGCUUCGGAGAAAUUGUCGUAGCUCAUGAAUGAAUCAUCGUGUUCGGACGGAGAAUGGGUCUGAGCCGGGAAAUCUCCGUCAUCAAAAGUCGCCAUCUCCGAGAUCACACAGAUUCUCUCGUCUUAGACACUUUUUUAGAAUAUGAUCGCUGGUUUGAUUCAGAACAACGGAACAAGAGAAGAAAAAAAAAAGAGAAGGGCUUACGGAGCCUUAAACGUCGUCGUUACCAAGUAUUGCGUAGAUCUGAUUUUUUUACAUUUCUUUUCUCAUUAGAAAAGGGCACGUUGACCACAACGUGUAACCAACUCACCGAACCGAUCGUCUCAACGGUGUCGUUUUCCUCCUCCGCUCCUGUCCUUCUAGAAAGCUAAACAUUUUCUCCGAUAAUGGUUUUUGGAGAGCUAAACACAAAACAAAAGAGACACGAAGAUGGCUGAUCGGUUCUUCGACAAUGUGAUGCCCGACUUCGUGAGGGAGACAGAAAGUGAAGCCGGAGGAGACUCGCUCACGAAUCUUCUUGCUAUGCCCUACUCUUCUCUCUCGCAGCUGCUCAAACGGUCCGCUUUGGAUCUUAAAGAAACCGUACUCUCGCCAAGAUGUCUUUUUUUAUAGAUUUAAUUGGGUUGCUCACCAAGUGUUAAUUGCUCUGGAAAUGCAUUUUUUUUUGUUUUGUCUCUCAGGUAGUGAUGGAAACUUGGGGUUUCAGUGGGCAGCUUGUUCAGGACUUCACUCUUUACUCGGGAGCCCUUGGAGCUGCGUUUCUACUCUUUAGAGCUUAUCAGGUGACUGGCAACGCCAACGACCUUUCCCUCUGCUUGCAAAUCGUCAAGGCUUGUGAUGCUGCUUCUGCCUCCUCAGGGUACUACCCUCUUCCUUGUCCCAAGUGCUUUGGAUUGUUGUUGAGAGUAUGCUUCUGGUUCAUAGGGAUGUAACUUUUAUCUGUGGCCGAACCGGAGUUUUUGGUCUCGGCGCUGCUGCUGCCAAGCGUUCUGGUGACCAAGAGUUGCUCAAUUACUAUUUGGCACAGUUCCGUCAGGUUUGCUUCUCCUCUUUGAUCUUGGUCCGUUUUUAUAUUUUUUUUUCAUUACAAUUAUGUGAUUGAAUCGAGCUUUUUUUUUGGUUUUGUUUUUUAACCAAAAGAUUAGACUAUCUAGCGAGAUUCCUAACGAGUUGUUAUACGGAAGAGUUGGUUAUCUAUGGGCUUGUCUUUUCGUCAACAAAUAUGUUGGCGCAGAAACGUUGCCUUCAGCUACCAUUGUAAGUGCAGUUCUUGGGAUGAUACAGCGACUGAUGAGUGAGUCGCCUUAUAAUUUUUUAAUGACUAAGAAGACUCAGUGUGCAGCGCCAAGUUGCUCAGGAGAUUAUCCAGCAAGGACGAUCCAUGGCUAAGAAUGGAAGCUCGCCGCUUAUGUUUGAAUGGUACGGCGAAAGGUACUUGGGUGCAGCACAUGGGCUUGCUGGUAUUAUGCACGUUUUGAUGCAUGUUCAGCUGAAGCCAGACGAGGCUGAGGAUGUGAAGGGAACCCUUAAGUAUAUGAUCAAGAGCCGGUUUCCAAGUGGAAAUUACGCUGCCAGUGAAGAGGAUAGGAGAAGAGACCUUCUUGUGCACUGGUGUCAUGGAGCUCCUGGGAUUGCCCUCACGCUUGUGAAGGCUGCUGAGGUGAUGAUUGAUGAUGCCUUUUUUUUUUAAGUCAGAAUAUCUGUUUUCUUUCUAAAAUUGCUUUCUAGACAUCUUUGGUCUGUGGCAAAUGAAAACAAAACACAGGUUUUUAAAGAGAGAGAGUUUCUGGAAGCGGCUGCAGCUGCAGCAGAGGUGGUGUGGAACCGUGGAUUGCUCAAGCGGGUGGGGAUCUGUCAUGGAAUAAGUGGGAAUGCAUAUGUUUUUCUCUCCCUUUAUAGAGCUACGGGAAGGAGCGAGUAUCUGUACCGUGCAAAAGCCUUUGCCAGCUUCCUGCUUGAUAGAGCCCACAAGCUACUCUCAAAAGGAGAUAUGCACGGAGGUGAUAGUCCUUAUUCCUUGUUUGAAGGCGUUGGAGGCAUGGCCUGUCUCUUCCUCGACAUGGUCGACCCAUUUCAGGCCAGGUUCCCAGGUUACGAGCUUUAAGCUUUUUAGAUCGAUAAACAUCUUUGUAACUCGAAUCCCUCUCUCUAUUUAUAGAGUAGACACAAGGGCAGAGAGAGUUUGUUUAGUGCAAGCAAAAUGUUGUUGUUGUUAUUGUCGUUUGGUGGUGAAAUGGUUAUCGUUUAUUGUCUAAUGAAACUGUGCGGAGAUCUGUCUGUAAACUCUUUGACUAUAUGAAUGUUAGCACUUCGCACGAGUGUGAAAAACAGAGCAGUUUUCUUUCUGCCUCUUCUGUAUUUUGCCCAAUUAGUUAGGACACUGGAACGCAAGGAAUGUGACAAAUGUAGAAUAGUGUGGUGAAGUCUUGUUGAUUAUGGUUUAAGAAAUAUAUAUAUGCUUCGUGUUCAGAGCACAAUCUUCGAAUACAUACAUAAAGAACUGAGAAGAUAUGGAUCAAAAUUUUCAUUGUCAUCCUUGCUUUUUGCGUUGGUAAAGAAAAGACAAGAUGAAUUAGAUGAGUAGUGUAAUCAUGGGCUCCAAAAUAACAACAACAACAAAACCAGCAAGCAGGCAAAUAUAAGAAAUCGUAGAAAAAGGGGAGCAAAAUUGGGGACAAGGAGGAGGAAGCUUAGAUGCUGCUCGAGUCACGGCCAAAGACAAAGCGUCGAGCCCAGUCAGAGACGACGAGCAUCCUUGUGCGCCAGCUCACAAGUUUGCUGGCGUAGACAGAGUACCAAAGCCACUGGGUGCUGUGUCCAAUGGAGACCCAAUCCCCUGGCAGCUCAGCUGCUGUCUGUUCCCCUCCCAGCGGAGCAAACGAUCCAAAAUGUCUGUACCUGAAUGGUUGGAACCGGUGCCGACCCUCUCCUCUGAACCUCAGUGGGCCCUCUGGCUUCUCCUCACAUUUCUCCAUUCUGUUGAAGCACUUUGCAAGGUACUUCCCUUGUUGUGAUGCAACCUUAUUUUUCAACAAUCAACAAAAACAAAAUAAGAAAGAAAGAUAGAGAGAGUUAAGUAACAUCCUGUUUCUAUUGUUUUGGAAUUGGUGUACAAGAGAGAAGCUCCACCUGUGCAGUUGGUGGAAGAUUCUUCAUCUGGGAAUCGACCUCAGAGAGGGCUUGCUUAAAAUUUUCGAUAUCGACUUCUGUGUCCUCGCCAUUCGCACUCUUGAGCAAGUUUGCAAUGUUCCUCAGCUUCUUCUUCUUCAAGUAGAGCUCCACCUGAGGGUACCUUUGGCAUAUGUCUUUCACCACACCAUUGAACUCUUUUUUGUUCAAAGUUCCUGUCUUUCCCUUGUCUGCUUUGCUGAAUAUUUCAGCUAUGUCUUCCUGUUUAUUCACCAAGAUCGACAACAAAUUAAAAAAAAAAACUCACUCGUCUUGAGAUAUGACACAACGCAAGGUAUAUGAACGAGGUGUUGAGGUGGUACCAUGACUCUGCGUUGGUUGAUGGUUGCAGUGUCACCUAAAGCAUAGACACUGUCGCAUCCCUCCACUCUAAGCCAUUCGUCGGUUGCCAAGACACGCCUCUGCCCCUGUAACCAUAUAUUCAGAACGCAACAAUCUAGUUAGGUCGACUGUGGACAAGACCAAAUGAUUGCAAAGUCUUGAUUUCAGAAAACGUAAUCUAACCUGACCAAUCUGUUGCAUAAAGUCCCUGAUGACAGGACGCGACCCAAUUCCUGUUGACCACACAACCAUACCAUAAGGUUCAGAGACAAUUUUGCCAGUUUCUCUUUCCUUUGUGGAUAUCUCAUCAGCAGUCACCCCCACAACCAUGGACCCUGUCUUCAAAUCAAUGCCGUCUCGCUGGAACUUUUCCUCAGCAAAAGCAGUGAUCCUCUUAUCAAACCUGAAGGAGAGUUGGAGCUAAUUGGUAAGAGCAGCAGAUUAAUGAAGCUGCCAAAAGUUAAAACUUUGAUUGGAAGGAAACUCACAUGUUUAGGAUGUGGUCGCCUGCUUCAAGAAGAGUGAUUCUUGUGAACUCUUGGACCUUUGGGUAUAUCUUAGCAACAUCCUCGACUAAGAAAUCAUGGAGCUCUGCUGAGAACUCGACCCCAGUGGGUCCACCACCAACCACAACGAAAUGCAGAAUCUUUUUCCUCUCUUCUUCGUUUAGAUCGGGAAGAGAGGCUCUCUCGAAACAGUCGAUGACUGACUUACGGAUUUUGAGAGCAUCAUCAGCUUCCUUGAGGAAAUGGGCAUGUUCCUCAACUCCAGGGGUGUUGAAUGUGUUAGGCUUAGCUCCAACAGCUAUGACUAGAAUGUCGUAAUCCAUGUCAAACUCCGUUGUGCCCUUAAGGCUUGAGCCAUCCUUAGACCGGCAAUGGAUUUUCUUGUUAGAUGCAUCAAUCUUGACACACUCUGCCUCUUUGUAUUCAAAUCCUUUCUGAGAUGUUUAAUAGUCUAGGUUCAAAAUCAGAAAAGCCCCCAAAAAAAAACAUGUAAAUUAAGGUAAUUAAUAAAUAUAAGAGAGAAAGAGAGAGAGACCUUGCGCAUAAGGCCACGGAUGGGUUCAACAAUGCUACGGGCUUCGACAGUGCCAUUGGUAACACUUGGCAAGAGAGGAGUGAAGAGGAAGAAGUUGCGAGGAGAGACAACUUGAACAUCGUAAUUAGGGUUGUUGAGGUAAUUUAAGAAGCUGUAGCCGCUCCAGCCACUCCCAAGAACGACCACUUUCUUCUUCCUGAUUUGUUGGCCAUCUGAAUGAGUAGCGUCUGUGACUAAGACACGCUUCAAUGGACUCGAGUCCGAAUACGCCAGCAGACCGCCACCGCUGCACACAACAACAUUCAUACAUGAAACGACAAAAAGGUCAGAGAGAGAGACGUCAAGGAUAGAAAACAAAAUCAAUGUCAGAAAUUCUCAAAGAUUUCUUUGAAACAGGAUGUCAUGAACUACGUUACCCAAAAAAAAAAAAAAUUGGAUCUGAACUGAAAAAACAAAAUGAAGCUUUGUGUGUUUAGAGCUGGUGUAUAUGCGUAUGGUCGAAAAUAUCACAAGGAAGAGGCAAAAAGAAGAAAUAAAAAAAAGGAACUUUCAGCGAUGAAUUCGGAUUCGUGCAUAUAUAUAUUCUGAUGUGGAGAGGUUGAAAAUAUCAUAUAAGACUAGUAAUAAUAUUUCAUGGACAAAAAAAAAGAAGACUAAUUUUUGGAGGAAAAAUUAAGACAAGAGUCAAAGCAUAUAUAUGUAUAUUCAUGGUAAUUAUAAAAAGAAGAAGAUGAACGGAAUGGUGCAGCUAGCCAGCAGAUCUGAAAGCAAAAUGAAGAGGAGGAUUCAGACCUGAAAGUACUAAGAACAAGAAGCUUUGAAGCAGAAGGGUUAGCCUUAAAGAAGGUAAAAGCUCUCUCAUAGAAGCUAUGGAAAGAAGUCAUGACGAUGAUGUUUCUGCAAGUUUCUCAGAUCCAAAUCAAACAAAGGCGAGAGAGAGAGAGAGAGAGCUCUCUAUAUUUAAAGAAGAGAGGCUGCGAAUGUGAAUAUGCAGAAAUGGAAAGUAUCAAAACCUACGCUUUUUAAGGGUACGUGAGAGAGAGGCCGGCGACACACACACACCCCAACAAAACCCAAAAAAAAAAAAGGAAAAAGAAAAAAAAGAAAAAAGACAGUGAGGUAUAUAGGAAAAUUGGAGUAACUCCCCAAGUAAAAUUUAGGAAUAUUUCAUCAUUUUAGUAAUAUUCGUCUGGGGACCCACUAAACAACAGCGCAUAUUUUUUUAUGGUUUGACUUGGAGACUUUUUAUUUAACAAAUUAUAUGUUCCGCGUUCCCUGGAGAUUUCCUUUUUGUUUUUUUCUUUUCACGAAUUACUGUUCGAUUUGAUUUUUUUUUUUUUUUGCAUUGGUCAUUUUUUUUCUUUUGCUAGAAAUUAGUCAUUCCUUAGGAAACAAUUUGUAAUAUAUAUCGAAUUCAGUGAAUCACAUAGUAUAACAGAUUAGUAAUUGAAUUAACAUGUUUUUAAAAAGUAUUGUAACUAAAUAAUAUACGAAAUUUGAAGUUUCUAACAUUUAUUCAUUUAUGUUAUAGUACAUAUUACAGCUCGUACCAUUUAAUAACUUGCUAGUACAACGGAAGCUACAAAAGUAAUUUCCCAUCCUUCAGUUAUUACACUACAUUAUUAGUUAAAAAAAAAUUGUUUCACUUUAUUUGGUUUUUUUUCCAGGUCUCUUUAGGCACAAAGUUAAAUUAAUUCAAUGUUGUUUUUUGGUAUGACCAUAUUUAUAUGUUUUAUUACGUUUAAAUCAACAAUUCAAGUUCAUUUAUAUCAUUUACACAUUCGAGUAGUGGCUACCAACGGAAAGCUCAUGCGUUUCAGUUCAUUCAAGUGUUAAAAAGACAAUUCCAAUUCAGCGGCUUGUCCCUUUGUGAAAGAAAUAUAUUAGGGAGAAAACAUUUAGAGACAAGGACUUACUUUGAUGCAAAAUUCGUCUUUGUGAGAUCUAUCUUUACAUGUUAAAUCCCAUAGCGCAAAACAUCCAUCUCUAGAACCAGAGACAAGAAAAUGAGCAAACAGCAAGAGUUAGAGCUUAUUUUGAUCAGUUAGUAAACCUUUUUUUGGUCGAACGAUCAGUUAGUAAACCAGGAAGAGAAAUAUAUGCAAGAAACUAAUCAGAAUUGGUUGGAUGUGAGAAUACAUUGAUUUCACAGUUGCUGUCUGUCCUAGAAGGACUCCAGCUAGAGCACACCUACUCUCCUCAUUCCUCAACAUCCCAUACUUUUAAUCUGCAUCUACGUUGAUAGAGAAGUUGGAGUCAUGAGGACACAAACUCGUCAAUUAAAAGAUUUGGGUCACUAUACUUUUGUAAUAUCUCCCUGCACUUUUGAAUCCAUAAAAUGUCAAAGACCUCAUUAAUUAUAAAUGUCACGGAAUCUGGCGAUAUUCUCUACUACACAUAUAUUCCAUUUGAGACACAACACAAAUCAGUAAUUACAAUUUAGCCAUAUAAACAAUGAAAGUUACCUUCUUUCACUUGUUCAGAGUGUGAGAUUGUCCAGGCAAGUGCAGGAACCACGUAGAGUAGAAACCCCAAGAGGGUGCUCGAGUAAUGGAAUCGGAAACACCCGCAUGAAAUAUUUGGCGGCCGCAGAAACAACCAGGAGAGUCAGAGAUUUUCCGACAAAAGAGAAACCGGCGAGCAGUUUCAAGCCUUCAAAUGUCUUAGGCCACUCUUACAAAAAGCCUUUGGCCGUUUUUACAAUCCGCUAGACAUCUAAGUACAUCCAUAAAUAUACAUUUCUUCAAAAAAGUUUCAACAUUUCUCACAAAAGUCUCGUCAUUUCAGGCAAUUGUUUUUGCUCCGGGCGAGAGAGAGGGGAAGAGAAGAAGACAGAGAGAAAGAAAUAGAAAGGAGAGGGUACAUAUGUCAUUUGCUUUUCUCUUAAUUAAUUAAAUCAAAAUUCAAUUGUUAGCAGCCCCAGCCUUAAUGUAUGAGAGAAUAAUGAAUGAAUUAAAUUGAAUUGAAUCAAGGUGAUUCGUUCGAGGGUUUUCUUUUUUUUUUUUUGGGUUUCCCAAGCGAAUUCAGAAUAGAUCGACAAAAGAAAGGAGGAGAGUGGUCGCUUGAGCUCAGAUCCGAGUUUAGUAACCAACACUAAGUCCGAUUCCGAAAUCAAAUCAAUUCAUCAGUGAAAUCAGAUCAGAUCUGAGUAUCUGACUCUCUAAAAGUUUAGUGUUUUGAGUUAGUAAUGAGGAGGAGAGGGUCGGAAUUCCGGAGGUCGGGGAGGAGGAAGAUGUCGAAUGUGGUGUGGUGGCUUCUCUGUGGGGUUGUGGUUUUGCUCUUCAUCCUCAUUCUCUCCAAGGCUGGUCAGAUUGAGCCAAGGCCCUCUAUUCCCAAGGUCUUCUUCUUCUUCCUCUUCCUCUUCUUACUUUAUUAUUCCCUCUAAAUAAACUCAAAGAAGUUUGUGCAUUGCAGCGGCGUUUCCGUCAUGACAAGUUCGUGGAGGGCAUGAACAUGACUGAGGAAAUGCUUAGCCCGACCUCCGUUGCUCGCCAAGUUAACGACCAGAUUGCUCUCGCCAAGGCCUUUGUUGUCAUCGCCAAAGAAAGCAAAAACCUUCAGUUCGCUUGGGACCUUAGCGCCCAGAUCCGUCAAUCCCAGCUUCUUCUCUCCACUGCUGCCACCUCCAGACGACCUCUCACCCUGCUUGACUCCGAGCCUACCAUCCGUGACAUGGCCGUCUUGCUCUACCAAGCCCAGCAGCUUCACUACGACAGCGCCACCAUGAUCAUGAGGCUCAAGGCCACUUCUCACUCCCUCCAAGAGCAGGUUAGCUCCCUCAACGACAAGAGCUCCAAGUAUGGCCAGAUUGCUGCCGAGGAAGUGCCCAAGAGUCUUUACUGCCUCGGCGUUCGCCUCACUACCGAGUGGUUUCAGAACUCCGACUUACAGACAAGGCUCAGGGACACUAGCCAUGUACUCACUGACAACAGUCUCUACCACUUCUGUGUCUUCUCCGAUAACAUCAUUGCCACCUCCGUUGUGGUCAAUUCCACUGCUCUCAACUCCAAGUCCCCCGAGAAAGUCGUCUUUCAUCUUGUCACUAACGAGAUCAACUACGCUGCUAUGAAGGCCUGGUUCUCCCUCAACGCGGACAACCUCCGAGGAGUCACUGUCGACGUUCAGAAAUUUGAGGAUUUCAAAUGGCUUAAUGCUUCCUAUGUUCCUGUCCUCAAGCAGCUGCAGGACUCUGACACGCAGAGCUACUAUUUCUCUGGCCACAACGACGAUGGACGCACGCCAAUCAAAUUCAGAAACCCCAAGUACCUCUCGAUGCUCAACCAUCUCAGGUUCUACAUCCCUCAAGUGUUUCCUGCGCUCAAGAAAGUGGUCUUUCUUGAUGAUGACGUUGUUGUUCAGAAGGACCUUUCCGCUCUCUUCUCGAUCGAUCUCAACAGGAAUGUGAACGGCGCUGUUGAGACAUGCAUGGAGACUUUCCACCGUUACCACAAGUACUUGAACUAUUCCCAUCCUCUGAUCCGCUCCCACUUCGAUCCAGAUGCGUGUGGGUGGGCGUUUGGGAUGAACGUCUUUGAUUUAGUUGAGUGGAGGAAGAGGAAUGUCACCGGCAUAUACCACUACUGGCAAGAAAAGAACGUGGACCGGACCUUAUGGAAACUUGGGACACUGCCUCCAGGUCUUCUGACAUUUUACGGGCUAACAGAGGCACUAGAGGCAUCGUGGCAUAUCCUGGGACUGGGAUACACCAAUGUGGAUGCUCGUGUCAUUGAGAAGGGAGCUGUUCUUCACUUCAAUGGCAACUUAAAGCCGUGGUUGAAGAUCGGGAUUGAGAAGUACAAACCUUUGUGGGAGAAAUACGUUGAUUACAGUCACCCUUUUAUGCAACAAUGCAAUUUUCAGUGAUAAAUCGUAGAGUUCAUAGUUUUACUUCCUCUUCUAGACAGCCGGCCAUGUCUUUUCCACAUUUUGGUUACAGAGACUAGAGUUUUGUAUGCUCAAGCACCAAAUCACUUAUUGUAUGUUGUGAAUGUGAUAUUCAGAUUCAAUGAAGGAUCAGCUGUUCUCUGCCUGUGUACAAUAAUAUAUUGAUACGAAGACAAACAAACAAACAAGAAAAAGGAUCUUUGCUUCAGAUUAAGCUUUAACUGAAUAACCGUAAACCCUAUAAUUCUGGCGGCCAGUGGGGAAACCAACUCAUCUAUUGAGCCGCCACUUUCAAAAGUUUGUUUCUUUUUUUGUAAAAAAAAGUCUAAAAGAUUCUCUCUGUAUCCUCUAAUAAGAUUUUACAAAGCUGCUUUCUCUCAGGAAGCUGUGAGUAACAAGCAAGAAUGAACAACAUUGAGCGUGAACAGGUUUCCCUUCAGCAACUCAAAACAAGCAGAGGAAAGUCCCGCGAGGUUAGUUCACGUUUUCUCUCUCCGUCGUCUUCAUCUUCUUCUCCUAACCGCAGAAACUCCACUUCCAAUUCAUCUACCAAGAGAGAUGAUCAGUACAACAACAGGCUAAAAGCUCAUCUCGGUCUGAAAAAGCAUGAUCGGAUUUCAGAUGGCCCACGGGUUUGUUUCGGGUUCCCAAAUCAAAGUACGUCUAGCAAAUCCAGUGGCCUCGAAGUGGACACAAAAGAAAAUCGUAGGCCUUCACCGUGGAUCGAUGAAGAGGAUAAUGUCAUACUUCCUGGCAGAUUUUCCGUCGAUGAAUGUGCAUUGUACAGAACACCAUCGAGGAGAAACUCAUGCUCUCUACUACACGAGUCCUAUAACGACGAAUCAGAUUCAGAGUUGAGCGAUGUGUCCUUUGCUUCGACUCUUAGCACAAACCGUUCAUCCCGGAGCCAUAAGGUCUCUUCUAAAUAUCUGCAUGAUUUAAGAGAACGAACGAGCAAAGGGUCAUCACUAGGCAACAACAAUAUGGCCAAACUAAGGUCACAACAAGGUUCCCAGAGAGCUAACAGCUUUAGGGGCAUUGAGAAUACGAUCAAGAGGACUAAUCCAGUGGCCAGGUAUGGCAGUUCCAUGUCUCAGUGGGCGCUGUCACCAGGAAGGUCAUUGGAAAGUCAGGCCGCGACGAUUCCAAGUUCAAGCCUGAAGCCUCCAAGAGGCCAAGGCGUUGGUAAACUAUUCAACCUUGGUUUCGAUUUCUUCAGGAGCAAGAAGAAGCCUUUUCUCUUUUCUUCUCCAUUAAAACCAAAGACAUAUGACGUAGAGGCUGCUCAUCAGCUGAAGCUUAUGAACAACCGGCUGGUUCAGUGGAGGUUUGUCAAUGCUAGAGCCUCUGCUGCAAUUAGUAGCGUAGCCUCCCGAGAACAGGUAAAGAUUAGAUCACCUCUACUCAGGGCUUGUCAUGAUGAAAAAAAAAAACAAAAAAAAUCUCGAUUAUGAAUGCUUAAUGAAACUUUUGCAGAAACAAGUACUCUGUGCUUGGGAUACUCUUACCAAGUUAAAACAUUUGGUUCUGCAAAAGAGAAUUAAACUGCAGAAGAAAAGCUUGGAGAUGAAGCUGGAUCAUGUGCUUCUUUCUCAAGUAAGUAUACGGUCCAAACCUAUUAAUUAAUUCGGUAAUUCCAAGCGACAGAGGAUGUCUUGCUGUUCUCUCUGAUAAGAAAUAUAUCUGAAACAGGUUAAACCUCUUGAAGCUUGGGAAGACAUGGAAGAACAACACUUUUUAUCCCUGUCCAUGACCAGACAAGCCCUGCAUUCUGUUCUUUACAGGCUUCCCCUAAGGGAAGGUGCAGAGGUAAAUCAUCAGAUCAUGCUAAUCUAUUUAGUUAUUUUGUUUUUGUUUUUGUGUAUAUUUUGUUAAACCCAUUGACUCCCGAGGUUUUCAGGUGAAGAUAGAAUCAGCUGUCACUUCAUUUCAGAAAGUAGAAGCAGUCGCUGAUGCUAUCGCUUCAACUGUGAAUAGUUUAGCUCCCACGGUAGGUUAUUUCACUCUGUUGAGUACAAAAGCGACGUGAUAGUUGAAUCAUGAAAGUAAGUGGCUUAGUAACCUCUAAAUUAUUCCAUUAUCAGAUGGAGGGUAUUGUUCCACUUGCCUCUCAACUUGCAGAAGUGGUGGCACAAGAGAAGCUGAUGCUCGAGCAGUGCCAGGGUCUUUUGAGAAUGAUUUCUGAGUUGGAGGUACAUAGAUGGUGUGUGCAUGAACAUCUAAUAUUUCAUCUUAUAUGUUUGUGUUUUUCUGAUCAUAGUUUUUGGAUGUAAGCAGAUGAAGGAGAGGAGCAUGAAGUGCUGCCUUCUCACCCAGCACAGGCAGACUUUGGAUACAAAACUUGUUCAAGACUAGGACUUUUUGUUUUCCCCUGACCCAUCAAAGAUUUUGCAUCUAGGUUUCUUAGACUCUUUUAGUAUUGUGAGAGCAUAAUAGUGGUCGAACAGAGUAGCAGAGAGUGCCUUUUGACAGUCGGGCAGAUUUCAUUUGUGGAAGACAAAUAAGAGCAAGCGUUUUUAGUGAUUCCAGAUUAAUAAUUUUACUUUGAUCCCGUUUGUAGUUCGUUCCUAACAUACAUACAAUGAGUAUAUGAGUGAAUCAAAUCAAAACAAAUCAAAUGUCUGACUCUACUACCAAGUACCAACACAAAGAGGCAAAAAUAAUAAUGUAAAACAAAAGGAUGUUUCUCUCUGUUUAGGUUGAAUCCUCUGGCGGAGAAGGAGGUUUUGAGGUGUUAGCCCAAACUCUCAGUACGGCGCCGUUUCGGGUCGAAACGACAAAUCCUAAAAUGGGGGUUGUGGCCUCUUCUUCCUUCGGGUGUCACUUGAUCUCUCUCUCUCUCUCUUUCUCGCUUCACCAAUCUCCUGAAACUUGCGGAGCCUCGAAAACCCUAAAGCACAACUCGAGAUCGAUGGCGUCCCUCACUCGCCGAGCCAUGAGCCUAGCUCAGAUCCCAUCUGUACGUGGAGCCGCCUCUAUUGGUCAGCGUCGUGGUCUCGCCGGCGCCGCUGGUACUCUCUUUCCCCCGUUCACCUUCAUUCUCUUUCGACAUUUGGCUUUGUGGAUCUAUAAUUGAUUUCGGCUGCGUAAUUUCUUUGCCAUAUUCACUGUCUAAUUACUCAACCCAUCGAUGAAGAAAUGUCACAAAUUUCAGAUCGUGUUGGAAAACCAUCGAUGAAGAAAUUUGCCAAAUCCAUUGUUUUUUUGGUUUUUCUGGUCCAUGGGGUUGUAAGUUGAAUCGAAUGUGCUUAUGAAGAGUGUUGUGGAUACUACUGUGCAGAUCACCAUGGAUCUACCAAGGUUGACUUCUGGAAACAGCCCACGAACCCUGGAAACUGGAAAGAGGAACAUGUACGUAUCAUAAUAUAUUUUCCUUGUCUUAUUUUUGUUUGUGAGUCGAUGAUGAUGAUGAUGAUGAUGAUGAUGAUGAUGAUGAUGAUGAUGAUGGUGAUGAUUCCUUAUUCGCUGAACAAUCUGCAGUUUGUGCUUAUUUCGCUGUCCGGAUGGGGCUUGCUUUUCUACAGUGGAUACAAGCUCUUCACCGGCGGGAAAGAAGAGGUACUUUGCUUGCUCUUCUUCCUUAUCAAAGCGGCGCUCUUGUGUUCCUUCCUUUCUUACAUAUAUAUCUAUAUAUGUUUCUUCUUAAUUUGGCAGAAGAAGCCUGUGGAGGGUACGCAAUGAAUGAAUUUCAAUCGGAAAAGAAGACAUUUCAUGGAUGGAGAGAGCUUUCAUUCUCGUGCAAUUUACUUUCCGUUUCAGCACCUUGUGACUGGUCUUGUAUCAUCAAAGCCAGCUAAUUAGUUCUGACAAACCAUCUGUGUUUUAUUUGAGAAAUAAUAUGCAUCACUCACUUUUUGAGAUCACCAUCAUCAUGUCUGCUAUGGAUUCUUGGCAGUUUUCUGUUUCAUAAAAUAUUCCUAUGCUUUGGAACAUACAAGAUUUAAGCCAAAGCAUUGUGAUAUAUAUAUAUAUAUAUAUAUAUGCUUUUGAUCGUUUUUUCAUUCUACUCGUCUGUUUUGGAUACGGAUUUUUUUUUCACAUUGUGUCUUCCGCCUUCUAAGAUAGUGAGAUCAAUCUGGUCUUGGCACUGCUAAAGCCUAGUUCCUCUUCCGAAGCUUGUGUGUUGUUGUCGAUCUCUGGCCUUGUCUGUGUUUGGUUUAGGUUGAAAUUGUUAUAUUAGAUUAGAGGGAUAUGUUCUCGUAAUGAUGCUAAACUGGCUUUUCAAGCUCAACUCUUUUCAGUUGUUUGUGUUUUUGUUCGGAAGUUGUAUUUAUUUCUUAAGGAAAAUGUAGCAUCAACCGUACAAUACAAAGGCUUUUGCAGAAGAAUUUAGUAAGUUAGGGGAAGAUCAAGUCAAAUGGGUUGGGCGUUGGUGGUGAAGUCGAGGCAACUCUGGCAGUUACAGUCAGAGAAACGGCAGAGGUUGCAGCCAAAACAGACGCAGGAAGUGCAGCCUUUACAAGACGGAGAACGAGUGCAUCCUCUGUAAACUUUCCUGCUCCCUCUCUCCUCCUCCUCCUCACAUGUUAUCCUGCAACCACAUGGAUAUCAUUCACUCUCUCUCUCUCUCUCUAUAGAUAGAUCAUAAUCACGAGAAAGAAAACAUCAAAGAAGCUGACUCACUUGUCGUAUGUGUGAUCGCAACACUUCCAGUUGGGAUUAGCCAAUGCAUCAUGGUGCAUCCGGCAUUCCCCUCUGCUCCUCAACCUGAACCUCCUCUCCUUCCCGCAUCUGCUGCACUCAACGAACUCAUCCCUAUGGUUAACACCUUUGGAUCCUCCGUUGGAGGAUUUCUUCAAUGCUUUGUUGUAGUAUCUGAGCAGCACCGUCUUUGAUAGUGGAACUUUGUCUCCCUCGAUGAACACCCACACAUUGUUCCUCCAGUUUCUAGAGGUUUCUCUCUCAGAAUGCUUCUCAAACGCAGCAGGCGUCAACUUGUCUACGAUCAUAGAAUCAAAAGCAGAAAGUUGAACAGGGUAUGACAGAAAACUAAUGGCAAUGAGAUUAUAUAUACCGAGCUGCAUGAAAGAUAUUGCAUAAUCAAGAAGCAACCUAAAGGACAGAUAAAAGCAGCCUUAUAGCUCACUGAGGCCAAAACAAGAGAUGGAGUUGAUGAACGAAAAGAAACAAAGACAUUCCUCCCAUAUUUUGUAUACGUGAUGCAAAGAAAGAUGUAGAGAAAACGAAGGCGAUCUCGCGCAUUCACAUGCACUGAUGUGAAAACCCACUUAGCUAAAAAAAAGAAGCAUCAAAAGAUACAAGAAAUUAAGGUGAGACCUUCGUGGCAAGCGGGAGUGCAUUGGCAGGUGAUUUGGAGGUCUCCAUCGGAGAAAACCCUAAGCCUCGCAAUGGCGUCUCCGUAACGGUGGCUGGUGCAGCCACACAUCACCUCCACGUAAUCCUCUUCCACAAUGACACCACUUAUCUCUUGCAGCUCCUUCUCGCUGAACAACUCCUUGGACACGUAUUCUCUCCUCUCCAUCUCCAUCUCCGAUCUCCUAUCCCUACCUAACUAGGAUUAUAUUGUGCAUUAAGAAAAUUAGAUACACGCAUUUAUAUAGGACAUUAUAGAGCCCUAAAUCCUAAGGGAGAACAAGGUAAUUCGGCAUGAGUAGAGUAACAGAGAUCUGAAAUUUAAUUAUAUCCAAAUCUCAAAGGUUACAGCUUUUGCCUUUUGGAGUAAAAAAAAAACACGAGAGAGAGACUUUGAAAGAAACUCUCUCUGUUACAGACAGAGAGAUGAUGGGAUUUCGUAGGCCGAUGCGAAUUAGGUGGCCAAAGUAAAAACAAGAGAGUCGUGGCGUGGGGCAUGAAAAUUGUGAAUCUUUUAUUUAUUUAUUAUUAUUAUGUAAAUGUUAAAAACAUCCUUUUUGGAUUUUGCAAAUAACAUAUAUGUAACGCACAUACAUAGAUGUGUUGUUUUUUUUGUUUUUUGACAAGAAGAACAGAGGAGUAUAUAGGCUAAUUUCUUAACCCACAAACGCUUUCUAAUUCUUAUUUCACCCACAGAAACAGAAAUAGUAAUUUACCUCUUCUCUUUUUUUUUUUUCUGACUUUUGAGCUCUCUAAAGUUUCAUCGGUUUACCAUUUAUGUAAAAUGUUAAUUAAAUGCUUUCUUUCAAUUAGGUAUAUGACAGUCACAUCUGUGUCCCUAUUCUCCAAUGUGCCAAUCCUAAAUAUAUAUGUAUGUACAUGCAUGUGAUAUAAUGCUCGAUUUCUAAUCGGAGAUGAUGAAUACGAGGAACAAGUGGGCAUAUAAAUACACUUAUUAGGGAGUCUCAUUUACUUCCAACUAACUUGGUAAUUCUAAAUUGAGUAACAGAGUUUCUGGACUAAACUCCACUUCUUCGAGACCUAGAAUGUCUUGAAGAACUUGGGUUGAGCCUGGCUUAAUAAUGGCAUCCACAUUUUAAAUUCCUAAUUUGAGGCUGUUGCUCUGUUGAAAUUUACAGCUGGUCCAACUUUAACUGUCUUUGUCAAUAUAUCAUGAAUGUAGGCAUGUUAUGCUACACCAUAAGUUGGCUUUUCCUCCUCCAUCUUAUGUAAGGUGACUUCUUGCAAAAAAAAAAAAAAAAAAAAUUCAAGUCAAUAAUGAGCCGCACCAAACUCCACCUCAUCCACGUUAUUUUUUUAUAGACUUUUGACCAUCCAAUUUCAUCUAUGACUCCAAUAUGUAUAUUAUAAUGCUACAUAGUCUUUUCUAUUUGAACAAAUCACAUAUUGAUAUAUGGAAUUUGAUGGACAGAGAUGUCGUUAACUACGACAUCGUCACGACGCUACCUUCAACUUUAUAUAUCUAGUUGAUAACUUGCAUGCAUUGCCAAUUUGACUUAGCCAUAAGUAUAUAUAUGCAUGCAACGCAAGUGGUUACACAUAAAAGUAGAAAUGCAAGAGAUCAACUUAAAAAAUAAUAAAGCAAAAGCACGGAGUAAUAACAUACAUAAUGUUCGUUUCUUCUCCAAAGUGUGUAAGUACGUUACGUACCCUAGCUUUAACGGAGACUUCAUGACACGUAAUGACAUAAGUUUUUUGAAUGAGCCAUAAACGAUAAUAGUUAAGCAGGUUGGGUUACCUAUUUGUGCAAGUUUAGUAUAAUUUGGUUAGCUCUUUUCUUUUUGUUGUUGUUGCUAGAACUUCAAUAUCAUUAAAAUGAAAUGUUAGGUGGUACAAAGAUGGGAACCUAUUAUUCUGUUUCCUUGGCAAAAUAAAAAAAAAAAACAAGGAAAACAAUACUAUUGGGAAGAAAAACAAGAUAAUUUUAUUAAAGCCAAAGCUACAUUAAGGUUUAGAAAUGCUGCUUCCGUCUUCUUGCAGUGAUGAUGUUACGGAUCUGAUCUCGGUUAACACAUUUGAAGAUUGCGUGUGAAGGGAUAGACUGUAAGUUGUGUAGCACACUGUUCAUCUGUUCUAGAUGUGGAACACUGUAGCUUGGGUAACGAUCUUGCGGAGUAGCGAAGGCGCUUAUUCACCACUACGAAUUCACCCAUGGACAAACCCAAAAGACACAAUGAAUAAGCGAGUAAUUCGAUCUCAGGUUGAUCCAUCCUGGACAGGCAUCGGCCUGGUUAGUGGGUUCGAGUGGAGUCUGAAGGAGGAAAGAGGUGGCGAGACUUUUGGCCUUCAAGACUAUCGUAGAAGCCUAUCGGUCCUUCAUGCCGAAUUGGAGAGCCUAUUAUGGGCUAUGUCUUGCGUGAAAGAUAGACAAAUUUUAUCUGUACACUUUCAAACCGAUUGUUCGGAUCUGAUUAGCAUGUCUGAAUCGCCAUCAGAUUGGCCAUCAUUCUUAUCAGAGUUAGAAGCCUUCCGCAAUCUUCGGGAAUUUUUUUUGGAUUUCACUCUCUCCCAUAUCCCCAGAAGUUCAAAUGUCCGAGCGGAUAGUCUUGCAAAACGAGCUCGAGCAAUAGGCUGUAUUUUCUCCCAAAUCAUUCAUACCGAACCAGUUGAAGAUGGUUUUCGGACCAACUCUUUAACGGGUUAAAUGUGAUGUAAUAGUUGGGUUGUGGAAAAAAAAAAAAGCGAGUAAUUCGAUCAGAUAAGGAAACCUUUGUUUACUAAACCAUUUCCUUCAAGAUGUUUCGAGAAAAAUAUUUUAUCAAAAUUGUAAGGCCAUGUAAAAUUCUGGUUUUUUUUUUGUUUUUGUUUAUAAUAGGCAUUUCUUUUAAUUUUUUUAGAAGAAAAAGCGACAACAGAUCUUACAGACUCUGUAAGACCAUCUGUAUCGGCGGUUUUAAAGAUAGGGUUCAUGGAUUUUUUGAUUAAAAAUAAAUGAAUAAAGCCCAAUAUUCAUAAAACCAGAUUUUAAUUUAGAGUUUUUAGAGGGGUUCAUGCAUGUCCAAAUUUGAUUGGUUGGCUUGAGAGAAAAAAAUUUUCUCCACUUUUUCUUUCUCAUGGGGUUCACCAUUACUGAUGCUCUAAUGAUGCAAUUAAUGUUUCUUCACUUUUUAUCACCAGCGACAAAGACUUCGCCAUUGAAACAAGAGCUAUUUGAUGACGACACAACCGCAAAGCAAAAUUAUGAUGAAUGAUGGAUUUGGAUGUCAGUAAUAAUACGUUCCAAGAAUGACAACAUCAUAAUGUUUUUCACUUUUGAACAGUCAUAAUUUAAAGAAAGAUUGACACAAACAACUUAUAUGUAUUAUGAGUGGAUGAGCAAGUCCUUGUAUCUUUGUGCGAUCUGGUCGGCUGUAUAGUCCGUAUAAUACCCUUUUCCUACAGGCAGACCUUCCUCGCUGCCAAGCCUCUCGAUCAGUCCCUGGACUUCAUCUCCUCCUACCUCGCUUGGAUUCAACAAGUUACAGGCGACCUCUAUGACUCUUUCCCCAUGCACCAGCGCCAUUGUCUGCACCGAAGCCAAGCCCCCUCCUCUCUCGCUCGUCUUCCUCGCCAUUCUCCUCACUGCUUUGAGAUCGGUUGACAUGACUGGCACGUUAUAGUUACUUACCCACCCGCAAGCCCCAAUUGCUACAACCCCUUUGGCUUUGCUCACCUCGUGUGGCCCUGCGUCUGGCUUCACAGGGAGCACAUCCAGCUCCAACCCACCUGCCCAUUCAUGUCCCUCCCUGUUCGCCUUGAAGUACCCGAGCUUCCUUCUUAUCGAAUCCAGCGUGCACUGCUCUUCUUGUGCUGCUCCAUAUAGAUAUGUAGGAACUGCACGACGGCAAUGAUCAGUCUGCCGCAUACAAUACAAGAAAUGCUCUGCUCUUUAACUUAAUAGCUUUCUUCCUAAACUCAGGAAGUCAAUCAAGUACUAACCUCGGAGAAUGGAACCGAUAUCCAUAGCCAGGGCAUUGGCAACGGCAGAAACUUGCUCAAUGGAGGUGUGAGACAAGGGGUGAAAGCAUAUGUGGUCGACCACUCCAAGCCGGGGAUGGGAUCCACGAUGCAAGUCGAGGUUGAUUGUGUCGAGAGCAGUCUUGACCAUUGCAAAGACGGCAUUCUUGAGGGGAGAAGAUGAACCACCGUGAGCCAGCGUGGAUACAAGAGUGUAACCAACCCUGCCGUAAGCAAGGUCUUCAAACUUGUUGACGAUUGCAGCUGGUGGAAAAGGCUUUGCAGCUCUCUCAAUGGCUUCAAGAGCAGUCUUAUUCCGAGCUUCAGAUAUGUAAACCUUGCAACAACCAAGCAUUUCUCUCCUCAACAUCUCCUCCGACCACCUAUACAUACAUAUAUGCGCGUUUGUUACUACAUGCCCUAUGGUGGCUAAAAAAGAAAGAAAGAAGCUGUAGCAUUAUUAUCCACCACAUUCAGAUCUGUGGCCAGCAUUCACAAGGUCCCAGAAAAAAAAGGGACAAACUUUCAAUUAAAAAAACAAAAAAAGCAGCAGCUCAUAUUGUCAAUACACAUAUACACACCUAGUCUAAAGAAAAGAAAAGAGAGAAAAUUUGAGAGAGGAUACAAAUAAAAACGUACGAACAGAAUGUAGUGAUAUUAGAAGUCGAGAUUGCUGGACGGGUUUGGGUAUCCCUUGUACACCAAUUGUUUCUUGGAAAUGCCGAGAGAUGCGCAUAUGAUGUUGAAUUUGACCCUGAGAUCAUCCUUGAGCUCGUCUUUGGACUCGUCCUCGGGAUCCAAGAGCGGGAACUUGUCUAGCAAGGCUCGGAAAUCAUUGAGAUGCUUGUGGAGCUGAGGAGACAAGUCAAGACGGAGAGCAGAAGAAUCCCAGAGAGAAGAGCAGCCCUUGUAGAAUCCGAGCAGCUCGCCUGUCUCGAAACCAAGUUUCAGACCCAGAUGACGAGCGUCUUCCCGACCCGACACAAGACCCGCUUCGUAACCCUCGUCGAAGCCUUGUCGUAUGUGUGUAUCCUCUAGCCGCAAUAUACAAUCCAGGAAAUCUUCCUUGACAUCGGAAUUCAUCAUCCAAUCGGAAUUCUAAUUUGUGUUGACAAAGAUUUGAUUGAACGAACAACAGAGACUCACCAGUGACCGAUCGAUCUGUCUCUCCUCUCGAAAGAUGGAUGCCUUUUAUUUUCUCUUUAAUUUAUACGUUUAUUAUAUUAAGGGAAAGUUUAGGGUAAAAGGAGACGAUGGAGGUUUUUGGGUUUGUUAUUUUGGGUUUGCGGCCCAACUCAACUCCUCAGAUAUUUUUAGUUCUUAAUUACUAAUUAAUCAACCCACAAAGAUUGUCUGAGAGAGAGAGAGAGAGCGCAUUGAAUGGUGAAAGCUGUAAAACGAACGAGUGGGGUGGGUUUUGAUAAUGUCGUGGCUUUCUGCCUCUCAUAUUAAGUGUUGUUACCAAACUUGUGUGUGUCUUUCAGGGUUAGCAAAAGGAGAAAGUGAUCCAUCUCAAAAUGAAUUAGUCAGAAGAAAAGAGCUAACUGAAUAACAAACAAGCAAGCAAACUAUAGGGUCUUUCUCUAGGGUAGGCAGACAAUCAAGCUACAUUCCAUGGCAAGUAGCUUGACUCAUUAAAAACAAAAAAAAAACAAAUGAAUAAAAGAAGAAAAACAAAGAUGGUUUGGUGCAAUCAGUGAUAAGAUUUGAGCACAGCGCUGCAGAAAUGACAGACAAUGGCCUUCCAAGCUUUGCGGUAAAAGGGGACCCCACAGAAUCUUGUGGAGGUUCGCAUGUCCGCCACCACUGCUCCUCCUCCGCACCGCGAGCAUAAACCGGCUGCCGGCUUCCUCCCCCUGACUUGCUUCCUCUGGUCUACAAGGAAACAGAAGAUGGCCAUACCUUUUUUUUUCUCUCCACUUCUUCUUCUUCUUCUUCUUCUUCUUCUUCUAAGUUGGAGGCCACAAUGGUUAUGUGUCUUAAAUAGAGAGCAGUCUUGGGAGUUAUUCAACCAUUUGGUUUUGGAUCUCACCUCCGCGUGUCACUUACAAAUACAGUUGGCUCGCUGACUUCCCUUACUCUUUGUGUCUCUCAUUGACUUUUUUUCCACAUUCAAAACUUUACAUUGAAUUUUAUUAUUAAUCACCACUUGUGUCUUGUGCCACAUCUUCUCAUCACACCCUCAACUGCCUGACCAUUUAAUACUUCAACAACAGAGAAAAGCCCAUUUCCCCAUUAACAAUAGCCAUUGACUUUUCUCACUUUCGUAGUGGAGUAUUAUUUUGCAACAUAAUGAUGACCGUUGAUCAACAAAGCUACCUAAUUGUAAAAAGGGAUAAAUAUAUUUCAACUUGCAUAUUUAUGAUAUCAGAAUAUGGGCGCCUUCUUUCAGUGAUAGUCAAAACAAAAAAAAAACAAAAGCAAGUAAGAAGUUAAGUUACACUUAGGAGUGAGUGGCGAGUUAAGCAAAAUCCCCUUAAAAAAAAAGAGUAGAGGAGAGGAUCUGUUUGUAUGUUAUCUUCUGGGAAAAAAUGGAAGAUGAUAAGAGGACUCAAGGGUUGUCAGAGAGCUGCCAUCAUUGCUCGUCUUGUUGCCUCUUGCUUCAUCUCUGCUGCUUUCCCGCUCCCCCUGAAGUACAUAUAUACUUGCUGUUCCCACACACAAACGUACAAUUAUUAGUCUAAGAAAACCAAAUCUAAUCGAUGCAGGAAGGGAGGGAAGGGAACCUGAAUAACCCAAAUGCUCACAAGUGACUCCAGGCAGAAGAACCCAAACCCAAUGAAGUAGAAUAUCUGCCACAGUUUUGAGUUUUCCCCACCAAAGUUAGCCAACUCAAAAAAAUUCCACAUCAGUUUCAGAUAUUUGGCUACCUAAAGCUUUCCUACUUACCCCAACCAAUAUAUUCCCGCUCAACACGUCAAUCGCCGGCAAAAUCCCCCUGCAUAACACAACAUCAUCAUCAUUCCAUCUCAGCUUACUCUUACCUCUUUCUUUUCUUGUGUUUUAGAUACUAAUUUGCUACUUACGUCAGCGAUUUUCCCUUGAAGAUUAUUGGAGGAGCCACCGCCGCAAACACACAAAACCCUAUGUGAAACUGCAUUUUUUAUUUCAAGCUUUUACUCUCUUCCUCCUUCGGAUGUGUCAAAUCCAACAUUAAUUCAUGAAACCCGAAUCGAAAACUCACCAGAUACGUGAAGAAAAACCACCCAAACUUCAAAGCACUAUCAGUCCUGCACACAACCAAAUCAACCCACACUCACUCUCAACUCCUUUUAUUUCUUACUCUUUAUUAAGAUGCUAUCUGUAACUUCAGUUUUUUUCUUUCUCUCUCUUUCUUUAACUGAAGGAACACACACACUACACAGCAGCAUAUAGAGUACAGAAUUUAUAAAGAACAAUCUUAAGUGGCAUGGAUACGCAAUAUACCUCAUGGCACGAUAAAGAGGGCGAUACCACAUAACAUAUGCUCCAGGAACUCCCGAUAUGAAAUAGAUAAUAGCUAGAAACCAUAUAGUUGGACCUACACUCAAAGUACACGAUUCUGCAGAUUAGCAUCAUACGUGCUCAAUCUACUUGGCAACUUUUUAACUGUUCCAAAACUAACCUUCUCCCUUAAUCCACGCGGUGGUAACUGCCACAAUGUUCCAUAACAGGCACACCACAAGACCUGCAAAACAGAGAAAGCGAUCGUUUACUAAUAAUUGAAGGAAAUCCAGCACUUUCGCAACUGCAGAUGGUUUGCCCCUUAUGAGACAGAGAAAACAUAUACCCAGCAAUGAUGUGAAUGCAACAUAUUGGAUUCUCUGCAGAUGGAUAGGUAUCUCAUUCGAAAUGUCGUGAUGGAUGAGAGGGAAAAACGGAGGCCAGUUUUUAUCUUCUAUCACAAUCCCGGCUACCAAACAGAAGAUGAAAGCAUGAGCAACUUCACAUGGAACAAAAUGUGAGGUCUCUAAAAAAAGAUAAAAUUGACAAUGAUACCCUGUGCUAUAGCAUCUUCUUUCCGCUUGAGUUCCUGCGCAGUAGUAACACAAAAAGAUAUCAGAAGCCACAUAAAUAUAUACAUAACCAUUGUGGCCAAGCUUAACAGAUUAGAUAAAACGAGACCGUUGACAAGCUAAAUAUGUUUUCACCCAUAUAAGGCUUCAAAAAUGAUAUGCAAUUAGAAGAAGAGUAAUUAGUGUUGGCUCAAGGAAAAUGAAACAUCAACAGCUGACCAGUUUGAGAAGUGACAUUAGUAUCCAAUCACAGAUUACCUGCUCCCGCCUCUUCAAUUCAGCCUCUUUUGCCUGGAGUUCUUUCUCCUUAGAUUUCAGAUCCUAGAAAGCCAAUUAAUCUCAGGGAUUUUAUAUACUUGGUGAAUAGGCAUCUCUGGGUGUAGAAAAUACCUUUCCAGAGUCAAGAGGAACAUCAAUAGUGGCACCGCGGUCAUACGGCUCAGGGGGAAGAGGUGAAAGCUUUGAGGUUGCAGCUGGAACAGUUCCAGGAUUCUGAAAGAUUCAAUACACAAAAAAUGAGGGUGAAGGAGAAACUACAAAAAGCAAGAGCAGUUAUGGGUGUUUAAGGAGCAAGAGAGAUAUUUCUUGGAAAACCUUUAGAGCAUCAGUCAUCAGAGACAAAUAUCCAACAAGACAAGAAAGAGUAUCAAUAGCCACCCUAAAGAACAUAGAAAAAAAGAAAAGAAAGG
rnacentral:lncRNA from 1 species